AUCCCUGUAGCGCAAUGGACAGCCCGUUGGACUUCUAAUCCAAAGGUCAUAGUUUCGAAUCCCAUCUCGGAUG
rnacentral:tRNA from 1 species